GUUUGAUCCUGGCUCAGAGCGAACGUUAGCGGCAGGCUUAACACAUGCAAGUCGAGCGAGAAAGGGGCUUCGGCUCCGAGUAAAGCGGCGGACGGGUGCGUAACACGUGGAUAAUCUGCCUCGUGGCGGGGGACAACAGUCCGAAAGGACUGCUAAUACCGCAUGUCAGGUCGGAAACUCCGGUUUCUGACGAAAAAGAGGGCGCCCGCAAGGGGCUCUCACCACGAGAUGAGUCCGCGUCCCAUCAGCUAGUUGGCGGUGUAAUAGACCACCAAGGCUUAGACGGGUAGGCUGGUCUGAGAGGAUGACCAGCCACACUGGGACUGAGACACGGCCCAGACUCCUACGGGAGGCAGCAGUGGGGAAUAUUGGACAAUGGGCGAAAGCCUGAUCCAGCCAUGCCGCGUGAGUGAUGAAGGCC
rnacentral:rRNA from 1 species